UACGGGGGGGGCAAGCGUUGUUCGGAAUUACUGGGCGUAAAGGGCGCGUAGGCGGUCAGCACAAGUCAGUUGUGAAAUCUCCGGGCUUAACCCGGAAAGGUCAACUGAUACUGUGCGACUAGAGUGCGGAAGGGGCAACUGGAAUUCUCGGUGUAGCGGUGAAAUGCGUAGAUAUCGAGAGGAACACCUGCGGCGAAGGCGGGUUGCUGGGCCGACACUGACGCUGAUGCGCGAAAGCCAGGGGAGCGAACGGG
rnacentral:rRNA from 1 species